rnacentral:rRNA from 1 species
AGGACGAACGCUGGCGGCGUGCUUAACACAUGCAAGUCGAGCGGAAAGGCCCUUCGGGGUACUCGAGCGGCGAACGGGUGAGUAACACGUGAGCAACCUGCCCUUAGCUCCGGGAUAGCUCCGGGAAACCGGAAUUAAUACCGGAUACGACCACAGCCGUACAUCUGCUGUGGUGGAAAGGAUUCCGGCUAAGGAUGGGCUCGCGGCCUAUCAGCUAGUUGGUGGAGUAACGGCCCACAAGGCGACGACGGGUA